rnacentral:rRNA from 1 species
GUCUACGGCCAUGCUACUCUGAACAUGCCCAAUCUUGUCUGAUCUCGGAAGCUAAGCAGGGUUGAGCCUGGUUAGUACUUGAAUGGGGAGACUACCUAGAAAGACCAGGUGUUGUAGGCG